GUGCUCUGGGCCUCGUUGGAGCUUCUUCUUUGCUCUGAGCUGCACGGUGCAUUGCUGCUAGUCUUGAAAGCAACUCCAACAGGUCUGCAUUCGGC
ensembl:miRNA cin-mir-4094 cin-mir-4094